GAUAAAGAACGUAGCGAAAUGCGAUAAGUAAUGUGAAUUGCAGAAUUCAGUGAAUCAUCGAAUCUUUGAACGCACAUUGCGCCCGCCAGUAUUCUGGCGGGCAUGCCUGUUCGAGCGUCAUUUCAACCAUCAAGCCCCCGGCUUGUGUUGGGGACCUGCGGCUGCCGCAGGCCCUGAAAAGCAGUGGCGGGCUCGCUGUCACACCGAGCGUAGUAGCAUACAUCUCGCUCUGGGCGUGCUGCGGGUUCCGGCCGUUAAACCACCUUCAUAACCCAAGGUUGACCUCGGAUCAGGUAGGAAGACCCGCUGAACUUAAGCAUAUCAAUAAGCGGAGGA
rnacentral:misc_RNA from 1 species